UAAAAACGGAAAUGAAAACGAAAAAGCGAAAUGAGAAAAAUAAAUAAACAAAACAAAACAAAUUUGGAAAAAUUUCUAAAUUAAGGAAAAAGAAAAAAAUCGUACUUACUUGGGAGGAUCUAACCACAGCGCUGUCACUUUCCGUAGAGUACCACAUGAUUGUGGUGAUGAGCGUAACGAUGACAAUAACGACUUUGCGUUCCAUUUUCUCUUACUCCUCUUCGAAUACAAAACAAUUUUAAACAAAUCCUUUUAAAUUUCAAAACUUUUAAUCCUUGUAACUUCGCGAUCCUCAAUUAGACAACCACGAAUCUUUCUUUCUCUUUCUCUCUCUCUCUCUUCUUUCAAUGUCCUGCCUUGUUCCCCGUCGAAACAAGGGAACCGUUUGUUCGUUGGCGGGAAAACGCGAUCCUUAAGCACGUUUUAUCGACGAUCUCUUCUUUUGUACACGUAAAGUAUAAUCAAAGGAUAUCGUAUAAGGGAGAUAAAACUUUAAUAAUAAUUUGGAGUUCAAAGUAUAGAUAUAGAUAGAAGUGAAGGAAAUAAGAAAAGAAAUGAUAUGUAAGAUAGAGAUUUUCGAAUUUUUUGUUUUUAGAAAAAAUCAAAUCUUUAAAUAGAAUAGAAAGGAAAAGAAACAAACACAAACACACAAAAAAGGGAUAUGGAUAUAGAGAUAUAUAUCAAUAUAUAAAUAUUGAUUGAAUGAAUCCAAAGUGAGCUCUGUUGAUAUAAUCUUCCUGUCUCUUUUUCUAUCUUUUUAUCUCUCUUUCUCUCUCUCUCUCUCUCUCUCUCUCUCUCUCUCUCUCCCUCUUCUGUAGCGCAGAAAACUCCCCAAAAACUUCCCCAGAAACAAAUUUCUAUGAACUUGUAUCGCGUGUUGAAUUUCGUAUUACGUACGUUGUUUUCUCUCUCUCUCUCUCUCUCUUUCUUUUUUCUUUUUAUCUCUGUCUCUCUGUUCUUAUCUCUUUCUCUUUUUCUCUCUCUAUAAACUCACGACUCUGUUCGAAAUUUAUACAUAGACUGUUCUCUCGUGUUAAAGAGUGAGGACGCUUCCAAGGCACCGGAGGUUUAUAUAGGUUGCGCCGUUGUUCGAACUAGUGACUUGUGCCACGUGGUGAUGGUGGGGAAUGACGAUGAAAGGAAAGGGUGGGGAGCAGAGGAAAGAUGAUCAUUGCGAUCGGUCGGAAGAGUUGUGAGGAGAAACGGAGGGGAAGGUUGUUCAGAGUAAAAAAAAGAGAUAAAAGAAAAAUACAGAGUGGAAUGAUGAAGGAAAGGAUCCUCCUUUCGUGGAAAACGUUUGUGUCAUGUUGGCCGAUUGACGUCAUCAGCUUAAGCAUUUAUAUAUACAUACAAACAUAUACAUGAAAGAUGUCAAAACGAAAAUUCAUCAAGGGUAGAUACGUGUAAAUACAUAUACCGUAGAGUCAGAGAAUCUUCCAAGAAGACGGGUUAACUACCAUUGUUCAUAAUUCGAAGAACGAGAAGAAAACUUAACGAGCUUUUAUGAUUUUUUUACGAAUUCUAAGAUCAUUUAUUAAUUAACGAUCUUCCAUUAAUGUUUUACCUUCAACGGUGGGUCUCAAUUACUAACAAUGAUUAUGGUCUUAAUCAAGACUAUUUAUUCUUCUUUUUUCUUUCUUUAUUUAUCUCACGUUGAAAAUAAUGUUACUUAUUUCUUUAUUUCUUCAGUUUUUAAAAUCUAAGUCAUUAUCUUGUGAUAGAAUUCAUUUAAUAUAAUUUCAUUUUAUUUCAUUCAUUAUGAGAAUAUGAAUUCAGAAUUUAUUAUAAAUUAUUAAAAGAAACGAUAUUUCUCUGUUAUUAAAACGCAUUUGGUAUAAUUCGAAUGAAAAAUCUUUGAAUAUGUUUAGGAAUUAUAGGAAUUGGUAAAGAAAAUUUUAAUAUCUGUUUCGUCUUGAAAUUGUUGGGAUUUAUCUUUAUCUUCUUUGUAGAA